ensembl:lncRNA novel transcript
CUUCUCAGUGACGCAGGAAGCAAGGUCAUCAGCGGAGAUGAGCAUCGUGGAGGAGACAAUGGUGUGCAGAGAGCUAAAUGUCAGGAAAUUCAUUCCUGGAGAUCUACACGAAGACACGCAUGUCGACAUGCUGCUACCUCUGUAAUAAAUGUGGAGAUGUAAAAUACAGAUCAUAUCGCCGAAUUUUUCACGUCCUCAUCAGCCACCUCAAAGAAUCAAAGAUGAGGAAGUCCUCACUGAAAUCAAGGAUUGCAACUUUCUCUAGAGGCAAUUUCCAUUCUCAUGUUUUUUCUCCCAGACCCAGACUAUUAAAAUUGGAAGAGGAAUAUAGAAUGAAAAAUCAGGCUCAAACCUUUCACAGAUGAAUGUACGACAAGAAUAGAGGUGGAUUGCAGUUUUGCAUUGAUUAUGAACAGCCGUAUCUAUAGACAUAUUGAUGAAUCCCAUGGAGAGAAGCAAUCGAGUUCUGUGAACAUGGUUAUAUGAGUAUUUUUAAGCCUACAAUGUUAUCAAGAGCACAUAAGGUGAAUGGCCUAAGAAAAUGCAGAGUGUGAAUCAUUUCAUUCAACACUAGUUUAAUUUGCAAGUCCAGAUUUGAAUCUAAAUCCAUAGGGAUAAAAAUAAACCUCAACUUAAAUUUUGGA